CCUACGGGAGGCAGCAGUGGGGAAUAUUGCACAAUGGGGGAAACCCUGAUGCAGCGACGCCGCGUGAGUGAAGAAGAAAUUCGUUAUGUAAAGCCAUAUCAGCAGGGAAGAAAAUGACGUUACCUGAGUAAGAAGCCCCGGCUAACUACGUGCCAGCAGCCGCGGUAAUACGUAGGGGGCACGCGUUAUCCGGAUUUACUGGGUGUAACGGGAGCGUAGACGGAAGUGCAAGUCUGGAGUGAAAGGCGGGGGCUCAACCCCCGGACUGCUCUGGAGACUGUACGGCUGGAGUGCAGGAGAGGUAAGUGGAAUUCCUAGUGUAGCGGGGAAAUGCGUAGAGAUUAGGAGGAACACCAGUGGCGAAGGCGGCUUACUGGACUGUAACUGACGUUGAGGCUCGAAAGCGUGGGGAGCAAACAGGAUUAGAUACCCAAGUAGUC
rnacentral:rRNA from 1 species